UAAGGAAUAUUGGACAAUGGUCACAAGACUGAUCCAGCCAUGCCGCGUGCAGGAAGACGGCCCUAUGGGUUGUAAACUGCUUUUGUACCAGAGAAAACCUAUCUACGUGUAGAUAGCUGAUAGUAUGAUAAGAAUAAGCAUCGGCUAACUUCGUGCCAGCAGCCGCGGUAAGACGAAGGAUGCAAGCGUUAUCCGGAUUCAUUGGGUUUAAAGGGUGCGUAGGCGGGCUUGUAAGUCAGUGGUGAAAUCUCUCAGCUUAACUGAGAAACUGCCAUUGAUACUGCAGGCCUAGAGUAUAGAUGACGUUGGCGGAAUAUGACAUGUAGUGGUGAAAUACUUAGAUAUGUCAUAGAACACCGAUUGCGAAGGCAGCUAACGAAACUAUAACUGACGCUGAGGCACGAAAGUGCGGGGAUCAAACA
rnacentral:rRNA from 1 species